GACGAACGCUGGCGGCGUGCUUAACACAUGCAAGUCGAACGAAGUGGCGAACGGGUGAGUAACGCGUAAUCAACCUGCCCUUCAGAGGGGGACAACAGUUGGAAACGACUGCUAAUACCUCAUACUGAAGGAGGGGAUUGAGUCUGAUUCGCUAGUUGGGGGGGUAACGGCCCACCAAGGCGAUGAUCAGUAGCCGGGCUGGGAGGAUGAACGGCCACAUUGGGACUGGAAAACGGCCCAGACUCCCACGGGAGGCAGCAGGGGGGAAUCUUCCGCAAUGGACGAAAGUCUGACGGAGCAACGCCGCGGGAGUGAUGACGGCCUUCGGGUUGUAAAGCUCUGUUAAUCGGGACGCGGUACCGGAAGAGAAAGCCACGGCUAACUACGUGCCAGCAGCCGCGGUAAUAC
rnacentral:rRNA from 1 species